CUCAGGAUUCUCAGCAAGGAAUCAGUGCCUCCUGGGUUAUGCAUUUCCCAGAGGAGUCUGUCUCGAAUAAUAAUUUCCUAUUAGGUUGCAUUAAAGAAAUAUAAAAUGCUAAUAACUGUUAGCAAUGCAAAGCAGGGGGCAGAGGGGUCUCUCUGCCAUGGUAUUCUUACAGAGAAAUCCUUCUCAAGUACUGUUCUCUCCAUUGUGGCCCAACCAAGGAACAGGACAUAACUGCACUAAAUGUCUUUGACGAAGCAUCAGGAGAAACUAGAAUGUCGUGCUGUACCGCAGUGGGCAAGGAGAGGGAAACUGGGCAGGUGUCUAAAACUUCCCUCAGCUUCCAGGCACAUGGACAUUUGCAACUCGAAUUUUAUAUUUUAGAAUCAAUGAAUGGUUCUCUCAGGACAGAAUAAACACCCGAGUUCAGAAAAAGCCUUGCCUUAAAGAAUGUUCCUGUGCCACAGUUAGUUGCCUCGUCUCCUGUGACCUUGCAGCUCUCUGAGACUCUGUCAGAUGCUGUCUCUGUCCCUCCCAGGGCUACUCCAGGGAGACAUUCUGCCAGGUGGUUUCCCCUACACUGCUACUGAGUUGUGAUAAGUAACAGGUAAAGCUACCCUACUUAAGUUUGUAUGGACGACUGGCUCAGAAUCACCAACACAAUACUCAGGUUACAGAGAUAAAAAGGACUUUAAACCUGAAGUAACUGUUGAAGUGGGAAAACGGAGAAUAAGCAUGUGUGAUGAGCAUUCCUCUGAAGAGGACUUCUGGAGAGCAACCAGUGAAAUACCAGGAGGAGGGGAGACCUCUGCUGAAGGUUUUUGGAACUGAGUCUCUUGACUGCAACACCAAGUGGGCCCGAAGGAGUGAGCUCUGCCCACUUGGGGCUUCCUGAAAGGUCCGUUGGGGCUUCAGCUACAACACAUGGCUAACAAUGGAGGAAGAGGGGGCAGGGGCAACAAGGGCCAAAUGAAAGUUACCAUUUGGCCUGUGACAAACCUGGGAACAACUGCCUGCUGCCUGCGCGCUCUCCACCCCUCAGAUGUGAAUGAGGCCUUCCUGCCAAGAGACCUCCAAUACCCUUAUCUCCAGGCCACAUAUGAGAGCAGACCGAUUCCAUGUUAGACUUAUGAUACCUGAAUUUGCACCCAGGAAGGGGGAUGCUGCAAACAGCUUACCUUCAGUUACGACCAGGUCAGUCCCGAUUUCUCCCAUCUCACUUUCUCUUAGACAAAAUCCCUGAGAGCCAACUACUUACUCUACCCACCCCAAAAUCUUCUCCACCAAACCACACGGGAACCUGGCAGUCCAGCAGAGGCCCUGUCAGAGGGCAGAGAAUGCUGCAGGGAGAGCGUAGGUCAGAUCUAGGGAGGAAUGCCAGGCCAGAAACCCCCUUGACAGCCUUGUGGACAGGAUGUCUGAGGGUCCCUCCCUCCAGUUCCUUUUUUUCUGAGAUGGAGUCUCGCUCUGUUGCCCAGGCUGGAGUGCAGUGGCGCGAUCUCGGCUCACUGCAAGCUCCGCCUCCCGGGUUCAAGUGAUUCUCUGCCUCAGCCUCCCGAGUAGCUGGGAUUACAGGCGCGUGGUACCAUGCCCACCUAAUUUUUGUAUUUUUAGUACAGAUGGGGUUUCACCAUGUUGGCCAGGUUGGUCUUGAACUCCUGAUCCUUGUGAUCCGCCCGCCUCAGCCUCCCAAAGUGCUGAGAUUAUAGAUGUGAGCCACUGCGCCUGGCUCCCUUCCCCACCGACUCUUAGGCCCAUGUUAGCAGCCAGCAGUGGGUAAUCUACAGUCUCUCUAAUUCUGAGCUCCUUUGUGGUCACAUACAGGAAGGGAGGCCAAGUGGCCAUGAGACCACACUAGGGUAACACCAGACUUACCAGCCACCCUCAGGAGAGAACCGAAGCAGGCAAGCCCCCAGCUCUCGGGAGAACCACCUUCUCCUUUGGCUUCAGGCAGGUGAGGAGGCUGUACUCCUGUCACAGCUCGAGAAUUAUAAAGGAUGCUUACAAAAGAACUGUUUUUCCCUACCGUCAGUUAUAAAAGCCAGUAAGUUGUCUCCCUGUAACUAAGAGCUCAAGUGCCUAACACUCUUUCCUCUUCAUCAGAGUAACUAGGAAUCAACAUUUUUGCAGCAACGGGACUUUGAGAGUUAUGGUUUCCAAAAUUAAAAU
rnacentral:lncRNA from 1 species